CUAAUACAUGCAAGUCGAGCGGACCGACGGGAGCUUGCUCCCUUAGGUCAGCGGCGGACGGGUGAGUAACACGUGGGUAACCUGCCUGUAAGACUGGGAUAACUCCGGGAAACCGGGGCUAAUACCGGAUGCUUGAUUGAACCGCAUGGUUCAAUCAUAAAAGGUGGCUUUUAGCUACCACUUACAGAUGGACCCGCGGCGCAUUAGCUAGUUGGUGAGGUAACGGCUCACCAAGGCGACGAUGCGUAGCCGACCUGAGAGGGUGAUCGGCCACACUGGGACUGAGACACGGCCCAGACUCCUACGGGAGGCAGCAGUAGGGAAUCUUCCGCAAUGGACGAAAGUCUGACGGAGCAACGCCGCGUGAGUGAUGAAGGUUUUCGGAUCGUAAAACUCUGUUGUUAGGGAAGAACAAGUACCGUUCGAAUAGGGCGGCACCUUGACGGUACCUAACCAGAAAGCCACGGCUAACUACGUGCCAGCAGCCGCGGUAAUACGUAGGUGGCAAGCGUUGUCCGGAAUUAUUGGGCGUAAAGCGCGCGCAGGCGGUUUCUUAAGUCUGAUGUGAAAGCCCCCGGCUCAACCGGGGAGGGUCAUUGGAAACUGGGGAACUUGAGUGCAGAAGAGGAGAGUGGAAUUCCACGUGUAGCGGUGAAAUGCGUAGAGAUGUGGAGGAACACCAGUGGCGAAGGC
rnacentral:rRNA from 1 species